rnacentral:rRNA from 1 species
UUUGAUCCUGGCUCAGAUUGAACGCUGGCGGCAGGCCUAACACAUGCAAGUCGAGCGGCAGCACGGGAAGCUUGCUUCCUGGUGGCGAGCGGCGGACGGGUGAGUAAUGCAUAGGAAUCUGCCCGGUAGUGGGGGAUAACCUGGGGAAACCCAGGCUAAUACCGCAUACGUCCUACGGGAGAAAGCAGGGGCUCUUCGGACCUUGCGCUAUCGGAUGAGUCUAUGUCGGAUUAGCUGGUUGGUGAGGUAAUGGCUCACCAAGGCGACGAUCCGUAGCUGGUCUGAGAGGAUGAUCAGCCACAUCGGGACUGAGACACGGCCCGAACUCCUACGGGAGGCAGCAGUGGGGAAUAUUGGACAAUGGGCGCAAGCCUGAUCCAGCCAUGCCGCGUGUGUGAAGAAGGCCUUCGGGUUGUAAAGCACUUUCAGUGGGGAAGAAAGCCUUUCGGUUAAUACCCGAGAGGAAGGACAUCACCCACAGAAGAAGCACCGGCUAACUCCGUGCCAGCAGCCGCGGUAAUACGGAGGGUGCGAGCGUUAAUCGGAAUUACUGGGCGUAAAGCGCGCGUAGGUGGCUUGAUAAGCCGGUUGUGAAAGCCCCGGGCUCAACCUGGGAACGGCAUCCGGAACUGUCAGGCUUGAGUGCAGGAGAGGAAGGUAGAAUUCCCGGUGUAGCGGUGAAAUGCGUAGAGAUCGGGAGGAAUACCAGUGGCGAAGGCGGCCUUCUGGACUGACACUGACACUGAGGUGCGAAAGCGUGGGUAGCAAACAGGAUUAGAUACCCUGGUAGUCCACGCCGUAAACGAUGUCGACUAGCCGUUGGGUCCUUCGCGGACUUUGUGGCGCAGUUAACGCGAUAAGUCGACCGCCUGGGGAGUACG